UCCGGAGACAAACAAACGUAAACACUACUGUAUACAGAAUGACUAUAUGCUUCGUUUUCAACUGUAACCAUCAAGGGUUAAAACGAACAUGUAAAAUAUUCCGGUUUCCAACAAAUACAACGUUGGCGAGAAGAUGGGAAAAACUCUGUAGGCGGAAGGACAGAUCUAUAAAUGCUUCAUCUGACCGCAUUUGUAGUUGUCAUUUCAAGGACGGCGUAGGGACAAUGGACCUACCAUUUUCUCAUGGAGCUCCGUUUUUGAUUUCGAGGAUCCAAAUAAAAUAUCGAGUAGAACAGUAAAAGCAGAGGCAGCCCCCAGGAGAUGUGUGUGAGCACCUUGGAUGUCAAUGACUGCGCCCCUCAGCUCCCACCACAUUCUCAUGACCAUUCCUACCAACUUACGUUUGAGCUAAUGAUUGAGGAACACAAUGUUUGUUUUUUUAAAUGGAUCAUUAAAUUAUUAUUGUAAAUUUUCUGCGUCUUACUUUAAUUCAUUUAUUUAGAACCUAAAGCUACACGUUAAAGAACUUACAGACCGGAUUCAGGCAAUGUCAUUGAAAAAAGCCUUUACACUAGAGAAUAUCAUAGGAGAUGAAAGGAAGGUAUGUUAAUUGUUAAGUGCAUGAUAAAUCUUAAUUAUCACUAUAUCAUUUCUCAAAUUGUAAUUGUUUUUAAUAAUUCACAUUUGCUAUCGUGUGUUUUAGAACAAGAUGCUUUGUGGUUUAUUAUUUUAUUUUCAGUGUUUAUUAAUGAAAAUGGAUUGACUGCUGGACAGUUUUAAAUCCACCAAGGAUAGUUGAUCAAUUGGAAGCUGAAAGUGAAAAUUUGUUUCCAUAUGAGACUGCUGGACAGUUUUCUUUUUAUCGAAAUCAUUAAAGUUUUUGUUUUACAUACAGAU